rnacentral:rRNA from 1 species
CAGCAGCCGCGGUAAUACAGAGGGUGCAAGCGUUAAUCAGAAUUACUGGGCGUAAAGCGCGCGUAGGUGGUUUGUUAAGUUGGAUGUGAAAUCCCCGGGCUCAACCUGGGAACUGCAUUCAAAACUGACUGACUAGAGUAUGGUAGAGGGUGGUGGAAUUUCCUGUGUAGCGGUGAAAUGCGUAGAUAUAGGAAGGAACACCAGUGGCGAAGGCGACCACCUGGACUAAUACUGACACUGAGGUGCGAAAGCGUGGGGAGCAAACAGGAUUAGAUACCCCUGUAGUCCCUGUCUCUUAUAC